AAUUUAGAUAUGUAGUUCAUAGAUUUUUUUGUUAGAUUAGAUUUUUUUGUUAGAUUAGUUAGAUUUUUUGUUAGAUUAAUUAGAUUUUUUUGUUAGGUUAGAUGUGUAGUAAUUUAGAUAUAUGUAGUUCAUAGAUUUUUUUUGUUAGAUUAGAUUUUUUUUGUUAGAUAGAUGUGUAGUAAUUAAUUUGUUUAUAUUAUGUUAGAUUAAUUAGAUUUUUUUAGUAUUUAGAAAAAGGAAAAAAAAGUAGUAGUUUAUAUAUAGUUGAUCUAGCUAGUUGAUUUAAUAAACUAAUUUAUUUUAUUAUAUAUAGAAGUAGUUUGUUUUUAGUAAGUACUACUUAUUUAUUUAUAGUAAGUGCUUAGUAUUGAACUAGAUAGUUGAUUUAAUUAAUAAAACAACUUCUAUUUAACUAUAUAUAGAAGUAGUUCCCGCAUCGACGUCGGCGAUGCCUAUCCCGCAUCCUCGUCGUCGUCGACUCGGCGGUGGAGGCCUGCUUGGUCAGGGCCAUGUUCGGGACUGGGCUCCGCCGGGCUGGUAUUGGGAGGUGCUACCUUCAGGGGGACGUAGGUUGGUGAGGAGGCAGCCCGUUGUUGACACGAUCCUUGUUUGGUGGCGGUCGCGUGGGCUAGUGACGGUGGUGAGGCAUCCGGACACAGCGGAGGUGGUACGUCACCGUGUCAGCGAGGAGGACGAGCACGCCCUUCGCUACAUGGUUGCAUUGGAGGGAAGGUUCGACAAUACCUGGCAGGUUCUUCAGGGAUCUCACUGGAGUUAUGAUCCUAUGAUGGUUCCUUAUCUUUGGGUGUCCACCGCCUGCAUCGAUACCCGUCGGGCGCUACGGUUCUAGUUGUAUUAGUGAUAAUAUUCGACGAUGUACGGACACCAAGAGAUGAUGUACUUUUGCUUAUAAAUAUUGAAUGCAUUCUAAUUUGAAUACUAUACUUUAUUUUAUGAUUUGGUUUUGCUUAGUUUAUGAUUUGGUUUUGCUUAUUGAAUGCUCAUAUUGGAUAAUUUCUCCUUCAUUCCCGUGUGCUAGAAAAAUUUGAUAUAAUAAUGCAUUCGGGAAUGAAAGGAGGAGCUAAGUACAUCGAUCAUCGAUAGUCAACCCGUGAUUAAUAAUAAUGAUCUAGUUUAAUAUUUGAAUUAUUAACAUAGGCCGGAAAUGUCGUACUCAUCGGACGACGAAAACCGCCCGGGGGAGUGCGACUGGUGCCACGACGACCGAGGUAUCUGCGACAGGUUCAUUGUACUGGACGAAGAUUGUCGCUUCAGCAUUAAGCUCGAGGAGACCUUCGAUGUUCAUACGGUACGCAACCGACGAUAAUAGUUUUUUUUUCGUAAUUACUCAUGACUUCAACUAUUUUAAUCAUGACAAUAUUUUUCAUCUUUUCCAAUUCAACUAGCUUAUCCCAUGCUUUGCAAGAUGCUAUGUCUUGGAGAGGAUGGGUUUUGAAGACCAUGAAAGUUUCGAAACCAAAAAAAUUAUCCUAAGUACCCAUCAUGGUGUGGAUUUUCCAGUAAAGCUGUACAAUGCUCAGAGUGUAACCCAUUUUGGUUGCAAAAAUUGGGAAGCACUUUGCAAGAUGUAUGGUUUUGAUGAGUGUAUGCUUGUUACCAUGGAUCUUGGUGAUCCUACAAUCGAGCAAGAGAGACCUACGAUUUACGUCCUUGUGGAUACACCUCCAAUUCUUCCCUCAUGUGAGCUUAACAUAGUUAUUAAGUAAUUUAUAUUGUUUAUUUCAAAAUAGUUGACAACUUAUUCUCCAUUGACAGCUUAUUUUCAUUCUUCAAAAAAUGUGCGGAAGAUGGUAGACAGAAUCUACUACACCGAAGGCUCCGAACUAACUUAUCAGGAGAAAAAUCAUCUGGUCGCAUUUUGUAUUAAUCUUGAGAAUUACAAUGUCUACAAUCGAAUUCCUCAACACUAUGGUCAAUACGUGCCACUAGUGCACGUGUUGAACUACGGUAACUACCAUGGAGAUACCCUGGUAAGAUUUUUUACUAUUACGACAUCCGUGCAUCUUUUUGCACACUUCUAAAACUAGUACAUCAUAUCAUUGCUAAAUACGAAGUUAUUACUAUGCUUUUCAACAAAUAAUCCCGAAUGAUUGUGUGCCUCAUCUGAUGUAUACACACGGUAGCCUUCAUGUUUUGAACAUACAAGCAGGUCGUCCUACGAAUCUCAACUGUUCAUACCGGGUUUCUAAAAGAAGUGGAGACAUGACAAUCAAAGAAUGGAAAAAAUGUAUGGACAGUCGUAAGGAGCUUCUUGGAAGUAACAUUCAGCGAAGGGCAAAAAUUGGAGACAGGAUGAUCGCCAUUCUUCGUAAUGGAGAGUCAGGGUCUAUAUUGUUUUAUGCUAUUUUACCUUAAGGGUGUUUAGGUCCUACCUGAUACUGAUGAUCAUGUGUUAAGAACAAUUAUGUAGAGUUGGGUUCGAUGACUAUGAUGAUGAUGAUCGUAUGACUUAUUAUUAAUAACGAGUAGAAAUUGUAUGAUGAUGCAUUAUUAGUAGGACGAGUACUUGUUAUUAUAUAUGCUGAUGUAUGCGUGCAUGCAUGAGUUAUUAUAUCAGCGGGUAAAAUGAACAUAUAUAGCAGUAGCGUUGGUAAACCAAGGAUGAAGAUAUAAGAGAGGACACUUCUCUCUAUUAGCUAGCUAAUAUAACAACCGAAAAAUAACCCCCAAAACCCCUAAAGCAGCCACUUUCCAAAAAAACAUAGACUUUUGGUCCCGGUUGGUUCCACCAACCGGGACCAAAGGCCCCUGACUGGGCUCGGCGCACAGAGCCACGUGGAGGCACAUUAGUCCCGGUUCUUUCUUGUUUGAACCGGGACUAAUGGGUGGAGGUAUUAGUAACGGCCCAUUAGUCCCGGUUCAUGAACCGGGACUAAAGACCCUUACGAACCAGGACUAUUAGGUGUUUUUCUACUAGUGAGAGGAGAUCAGUAGGCUGAAAGCAAGAGCAACCUGACAACAUCAUUUUCCAUAGAAUAUUGAUAAUCAUCUUCAACUAUCGCUUUAGGCUGCAGUUUGGUUGUUGACCAAUUUUUUUUGCGAGCCCAGCUCAGCUUGUGUCCUCCCAUGAAUUUUCUGCCCAUACAUGUUGAGCUCUCCCGUUAAUCCUCUCUCUCUUUCUUCAACUCAAGUCAGCUCUUUCCUCUCUCUAAUUACUUCUCCUGCAGUUGAAUCAGGUCCGUCAGCGUAAGUGGCGCAGGGUGUUGUAGUUUGGCUUUUAGUUUUUUCUUUGCAAUGGAUUAUGAGUUGAUAUGAAAUCCCAUGGCAUAUUUGAAAGCAUUAGUCUGAUUACUACUUAGGCUACAGUAAAGAGGUUCAUGUGUAAUAUACAGCCUGAGCAUGAAGUGAUAUACUCUUUCCUUCUUUCAGGUCAUUUUGGAGCUGUAAUCAAAGAUUUGGUAGCAGAUCAUAUCAAGGCUGAUGUAAUGUGCAUCCAAGAUCAAUAUUUUGUCUUGCUUUCGUUGAAUGUAAUACCACUGUCUUCAUACCGUUUUUAAGAAUCUUUUGCGUGAGAUUUUAUACAUUUUCCUAUUGCUUUUUAUGGAGAUGUAGUUUGGAAUUUAGUUUUGUAUGGGAUUGUGAGUUGAUAUGAAGUCCUAUGACAUGGUUCAAAGAAUUAGUUCUACAUACAGUAUAGUGAAAGUUCAUGUGUAAUGUAGAGUCUGAGCAUGAACCGAUGUUUGCAAUAGGGAAGUUUGUUGGCCGCAUCUCAUGGUUCUUUGCUUUUUUACGUUCCAUAUUUCUCAUGGUUCUUUGCUUUUUUACGUUCCAUAUUUUUCUCUUUUCUCAUAAGAGAUCAUAUUGAAUUUGUCUCUGGAGUAAAUUUCUUAUAAUACAUACAUGUAGUUCUGUUUUAUCAUUUGGAAACUUUUGCUCCUAAACAGGUUAUUUUGGGUGCCUGACUUUAGCAGCGAGAAGUUUUGGAGAUGACUGAUUGGGCAAUGCUCCACAUCUGCUUCACAGGCAGUUCUAUUUUAACAUUUAUGGAAUGUUUUGCUCCUAAACAGGUUAUUUCUCAUGCCUCGCAUUUUAGUCACAGGUCAAGUGGAAGGUCCACUGAUUUAUUUCAUUAGAACUUUUAUUGUUUUACAUUUUUUAGGAUGAAAAUUUCAUGUACUCAUCUUUCUCAGAUUUAUGAAAGAGUUAGUGUUCAAAUAUAUGAAAGUGGAGUAUGUAAGAAUAUCUCUUGUCUCUCCCUUGACACUUUGAGCCAACAAAACCAAACAUUUCACCCUAUCUUACCAUGUACUAACUUAACUCUAUCGACGACUAUUCAAAUCACGUGUUUGGCUAUCUAUGAUAUCAAACAUUUGUGUUCUUUCAAAUAUCACAUGCAUUCCAAAUUCUUAUAAAUUACGCAACUAGCUAAUGGUUGGAACUUUAAUACUCGGCUUUAUUUAUAGGUAGCACAACCUCAUGUUAAUUGCCAUUUUAUUGCUACAGAUAUGGUGUUGGUCUGAUUGUGUAUGUGAUGAUUAUAUACGUGUCCAAGCUCUGGUUCGCGCCGGUGGUCGGGUCGAGGCAGACGACUUUCCAUGCUUCGGCGAGGCAUUCCUCCUCCUUGGACGUCCACUUGAUGCGCGGUUCGCCUGACCUAGCCGCCCGCUUCUUCUUCUUCCGGCGCACCUUCGUCGGAACAGGAGCCGGCUCCUCCUCCUCCUCCUCCUCCUCGUCCUCCUCGGGUUCCCGCGCGUCGUCGCCGUAGACGUAGCCGAGCUCGGCCUCCAUGUCGUCGUUGAGGUCCACUACCUCGUCCUGGGUGGCGAACCCGGGAGACUCGGCGGCCGCGGUCGAUCCUGUCGCGAUGAUGUCGUCCAUCUCGGCUCCUGUGUCGUCAGCGUCGCCGAGGUGCGAGAAGGGCAGCGGUCCGCGGUAGAGAUGGAGCGUCGGUGUGGACGCGUAGGAGGCGGGCGGCGAGUAGUUGUAUGGAGGGUACUGCGCGCCGACGAAGGCGGGCGAGGGCGUGCGCGUAGCGGGGUGACCAAGAGGGAAGGUCACGUUUGGGUUGAACCCACCGUGCGCGUCGCCGUCGGCGUAGCCGGGUGACGAUGAACCCCUUGGAGAUCCGGCGCCUUGCUGUCCCCAGGGCGCGUACUGGGCGUGGCUGACGAGGGUGGAUUCAUCCCCGCCUGGUGGACCGAUGAGGAAGACGCCGCCGCGCGCGCCGCGUUGUCGUGGGCCUUCUUGGCUAUUGCCCUGUUCCUCCUGUCGGCGGUGACUGCUUCGCGCCGCUGAACUUCCACCCUCCACUCGGCGUUCGACAUGCCCGGUGGCUUCGAUGGCGGCGCCCUUGGCUUCCUCUGCUUCGGCUGGGCCACGACGCCAGUCGCGGUUGCCGCCGCGCGCGGCAUGGCGUACUUCCUCGGUGGCAUGGCGUGCUUCUUCGCGGCGAGCGGGAGGGUAUUUGGCGGGAGAAAGGGAGAGAAUGGCGGGAGGGAGGCGAGCGAGCGGGAGAGAUGCGAGGGAAAAGCAUCAAGAAACGGCGGGAAAAUGCCCUCGGGUCGCUUCCAAGGCGGGCCCACGCGCCUUUUUUGCUUGUGCCGGCUCCCCAAGCGCCCCCCAGGGCGCCGGGUUCGGCCUGGGUCCGCCGGCACCAGUUUUGGCCCAAGCCGGCGAAAAACGGGCUUCCGGGGGCCCGACUAGGGCCUUUUUUUGGCACCGGCGCAGCAAAAUCGCCUGGGGAGGGCCUGUUGGGGGGCGCGGCUGGAGAUGCCCCAGGCGUUUUUUUCGCGCCGGCGCCGAAAAAACGGCCCAGUCGCGCCCCCAGGAGCCCGAUUUUCGCCGGCUUGGGCCGAAAACAGCGCCGGCGGACCCAGCCCGAACCCGGCGCGCUGGGGGGCGCCCGGGGGCGCCGGGCGAACUAUUUUGGCGCGAAAAAGCCGCGGGUCCGCCGCGUCAGCGACACGGCUCUCUUCUCGGCUCUUUGUCGUCCACAUCGCCUCAUUUCCCGCGGCAAAUCAAUGCCAAAGCUUCCGCGCGCUGCCGCGCCAGUCAGCCUGCGCCAUUGAUGCCUCACGGGCGGCGCAGUGAAGACCGGACGACGCGCGUCCCUCGCCCUCCCUCGCCCGCCACGCGUACACACGGUGGCACGCGCGUGGGCGGCGCCUCGGCCUAUAUAUGACGCGCCCCGGCGCACUCGUCGGCUCACACACUCUCCCGCCGUCGUCGUUCCUCCCUCUCCUCUCCUCUCACACACACACCCAUGGCCGAGCGCUUCCCAUGCGACGGCGCGGCGGCGAAAGGCUUCCGCCGCCGCCAUCUUCAUGAAGACGAGGCUCGCCUCCUUUAUGAGGCCGAGUACCCGGUCCCGCCGGACAUGCGGGUGCCGGGGGCGUGGAGGAUCAGCGCGAGCGGCGUGCCGGUGCCCCCGGUACCCACCGGCGUGGCGCGGCAUGCGGAGAUCGCACGCAUCCGCUCGAACCUGCCGCGUGCGGCGAGGGAGGGGCCACGAUACGUCCCUGACAGCCCGCUCUGGGAACCGUACUUCCUCCGCCGUCACGCCCAGCAGCUCGAGGCCACCAACGGCGUCGUGCCCGCCGGCAGGCUCAACGCCGCCGGCCGGCGUCGGUGGUGGGGCGUGCCCGAGCGCACGUUGGAGAUCGCACGCAUCCGCUCGAACUUGCCGCGUGCGGCGAGGGAGGGGCCACGAUACGUCCCCGACAGCCCGCUCUGGGAACCGUACUUCCGCCGCCGUCACGCCCAGCAGCUCGAGGCCACCAACGGCGUCGUGCCCUCUGGCAGGCUCAACACCGCCGGCCGAUGUCGGUGGUGGGGCGUGCCCGGGCGCACGUUGGAGGCCGUCCUCGAGUACAUCGAGGGCGGCAACACGCCGUGCCUCGAGUACCCCGAUCCCCCUUCCUUCUCACGCCGCCGGGGAAGCUCCUGGACCCCGAGGCGCAUGGAGACCGGGGGGUCCUCCUCCUCUUCCGGCGGCUCGCCCUGCCUCCGCCCCGUCAAGCCGGAGCCCCAGGGUACGCCGGUCAGCGCGCGCACCCGCAGUUCCGGCGUCCGCAUCGGCGCCAACGCCCCGCCACCCACCAGCCGAUUCGUCCUCGUCGAGCCCAAGCUGGAGCCGGGCCUCCCCGCGGAGUACGAGGAGAUAGCCCGGUGCGGCUUCUCCGACGAGGACGCCAUGCGGUGGGAGCGGGAGGACUACCUCCGCUACGAGACGGUCCGGCAGCGCCGGGCCCUGGAGGAGAUCGCCGCCCGCAAGCGUGGGCGCGAGGACGAGCACGGCGUCGUGGUCCUCGAGAGCGACGACGACGACGACGCCGCCGCCCCUGGACCGUCCAACCCGCCAUGCCAACCGGGGGAAGGAUGCAGCAGGGACGGAGGAGGCGUAGGUGGGGGCGACGACGACGACGACGACGAUGACGACGACAGCGACGACGGUGACUACACGCGGUUCAACAGCCUCCUCGGCAUGUAGAACCGCGUGGGCGUGCGGUGAGGCGGGCGGCGAGGGAGACGACGGGGGUAGCCCGCGGUAGAUUUUUUUCUUUUUUGUAAAAUAUCUUUAAGUUUGAACUAACUCGCCACUGUUUGCGUUAAAUUUGAGUCGUUUUUGACUUUUUUGACUAACCGUGGGCGCCGCGACUGGGGGGCAACACGCCCCCAGUGCGCGGUUUAGCGCCGGUGCGCCCCUAGGGGGCGAUUUUUUGCCCCUCCUGGGAGGCCAACGGCUGGAGAUGCCCUAACCUAGCAGGGUUUUGGCUUGCUCGACGACACCGGCUGGGACAACUCGCACCAUCUGGCCGCUGUACCUCCAAGAGCGUCUAGUGUGUAAUGGUACUAGUGCUACUGCUUUCUCGUCAGUGUCAUGAGUCAUGACCUUGAAGCACUCAUCUUCAUCUCGGUAAUGAGCCAUGUUUUUCCACUCAGCAACUCUGUUUGGCACGGAGUGCGAUCAUCUGGUGCAGAGUUAAUUGCACGUUGGUACCAUACUUGCUCACCUACUCACGAAUCAGUACCACUACUCCUGCAUGUCGCAGUUCAGUACCAACUCAGGGCCUAAGUGAUGGAUAACGGACUGACAGCCGUAUAAGUGAUUAUUGACCGCGUAUCCGACAGGUCGGGCCCACAUGUCAGGUGACACGCUGGCCGAAUCGGUGCGUGCCCGGUGCGCUGACUAGGACGAGGCCGACCUAACGGGCUAGGUCCAACCGAGUCGCCAGUUCGAACCCUAACUCUCGUUCCCCUCUCCCUCUCCUCCCCGUACUCCUCUGUGUCAAUGGCGACGGCGAAUCCAGGCGGCGGCGGUGUAGGCGGCAGCUCGAGCAGCGGUGGCGGUGUGGGCGGGUACGGAGAUCUUCCUGGCCUCGGGGCCGAUGCGCACCCAGGAUUGGCCGAGGGCGACGGCGAAAGUUCGUCGUACUACUCGAGCGGCGAGGAAGAAAUGGAGGAGGCCCCGCUGAGCAUGGAGCAGCGCCUGCGGAUAGCGGAGAUGUGGGUCGCCAACCCUUUCACGAGCCAUCACUGGACCAAUGGAUGUGGUGGGGUGCUGUAAGUCCUCCUCCCUCUCCUUUGUUCUUUCUUACAAUUUGGGGUCUAGGGUUAGUGUUAAUGAAAAUGUCCAAAUUUGCUGGCACUUGUAGUGUGGAGGAUGCUAUCUGGGAUGUUAGGAUUCACUUUGAUGCCCUACAUAAUUUGGAUAGAAAGAUAUGCAGUUCUGAUGUCACUUUUCUCAAUCUGUAUGCACUGUUGCAUACACAAGGAUUUACAUUCUCUGAUGAAUUGUAUCACAUGGAGAACACAUGCAUAGGAGAGCAGAGAGUGCAUGGCCUAGACUUGAUUGACACAAACAUUAAAUUGGAGAAUAUUAAGAAGCAACAUGAGCAUACUUUAGUUUUGAAUCUGUUAGUUAGAGCAACAGCCACUGACAGUGCUGCAAUUCAGAGAAAUGCUGAACUACAAACCAUUCUUUAUGCACCACCAGUUGUGUAUGAUCUCAGUGAGCCAGUUGUGCUUGCUGUUGAUGACCAAGGUGUUGUUUUUAAUAGUCAGGGCAGUAGUAGUACCAAUGUUGAAGCUAGUGGUUUUUGCACACAAGAGAGCAAAAAUCUAGGUAAACAAAAGCUGAAAUCUGUGAUGGAGGAUGAAGUCUUGUUGCAGGAGGGAUAUUACAAUAGUGAUAAUUCAGAAGGGGCAUAUGACAGUGACAACUACUUGGAGAAGUACAGGAUUUCUCAAGACACAGAGAUAAUAGAUGGAAAGAGACAAGCAGAUGAGGAACAACUAGCAGAUGAUCAAGAUAAAUAUUCAGAUGAUGAUUCAGAAGAGGAGGAACAACUUCAUUAUGAGGGUGACACUGAGGUUGAGGAUCUGUUUGAGAGGGAGGAGGAAGAGAGUGGGGAUGAAGAGAGGGAGGAGCGCUUGAAUGUGGAGUUAGCUCAACAGUUGCAGGUAGAACCUCCAAAGAAGAAACAGAAGCUGCCAAUUAGGAGGUGCCCCACCACUAGAACACAUUCUAGUGUUUUAAAGGAGGUGAAGAAAGAUUUCAUUCCUUCAUCAGAUGAAGAAGAAACUGGUUGGCUGAUGGAUAGUGAAGAUGAUGGGCAUGAGCCACUGCAUUUUGUCCUAAAGAAAAACAAGAAGAGUAGGGCACAGAAAAGAAAACCUAGGAUAUGGUUCAAUGAAAAAAUGGAGCACCCACACCAGCAAUUAUGUAAGUACAUGUGCUUCACAAAUCAGCAGCAAUUCAGAGAUGCUCUGUUGAGCUUGCACAUUUCACAGGCAAGAGAUUUCAGAUAUCAUAGAAACUGUGACCAAAGGAUCAUUGCAAGUUGCAGAAAUGAGCACUGUCAGUUCCACAUUGUUGCUGCUGUGAUCAAAUGUGAAAAGACUUUUGCUAUAAAAAAAUGAACCUGGAGCACACUUGCCCUACCACUACAGAGUCUUCCAGGGUUAGUGCAAAGUGGCUUGCAAAGACAUAUGAGUCAUUGUUCAGGUCUGAUCCAACCAAUAGCAUACAAACUCUGAUUGAUGCCUGCAAUGAGAAGUAUGGUGUUGAGGUUCCUAAGCACAUGGCCUAUAGGGCCAAAAACUUAGCUGUGGAAGCUGUCUUAGGAGAGCACAAGAAGUAGUAUCCCAGGUUAAGUGACUAUGCAGCAACCAUCAUGCAGACAAACCCUGGAAGUAGGGUUGUAGUUACAACUCUAGUUCCUAAAGCAACAAAAAAAUACCACAUACAGGGCCAAGGUUUCAUGCAAUGUUUUUCUGCUUAAAUGGAGCAAGGGAGGGAUUUCUCACUGGAUGCAGACCUUUCAUUGGUUAGUUAGUUGUUUCUUUUCUUUAGUUUCAUUGCUAUGUACAUGAUUACACCUUUGUUGUAGUUUCUUUGCUAUGUACGGACUUAAUUGGUUAUUUUUUUUGCAAAAUAGGUGUUGAUGGAUGAUAGACAGAAGGUAAGUACUUAGUUUGUUGUGUAAUUUCAGUAGCAUAGUUUGUUGUGUAAUUUCAGUAGCUUAGUUUGUUGUUGUAAUUUCAACAGGGGCUACUCAAUGCAGUGAAUAGAGUAUUUCCAAACUGCCACCAGAGAUAUUGUCUUAGACACUUAUAUGCAAAUUUCCAGAAUGCUGGUUUUAGGGGGGAAGAUCUAAAGAAAUGCAUGGAUAAUGCCAGUUAUGCUUACAAUGAAUAUAAGUUUAAUAUUGCUAUGAAUGAUUUGAGAAAUGAGUGUGUGGAUGCUUGGAACUGGCUUAAUGCAAUUCCUAAGAAUACAUGGGCAAGGCAUGCUUUUGACACUAACUGCAAGACAGAUUUGGUUGUUAACAACCUAUCUGAGGUGUUCAACAAGUAUAUCUUUGAUUUUAGAAAAAAGCCUAUUAGGACUAUGGUUGAUGGUAUUAAGGACAAGCAAAUGGUGAGGUGGCAUGAGAAGAGAGAGAGAGGAAAGGCAGCUUUUUGGUGGCGGCGAAUCAGAGAGAGGGGGGAGAGCGAGAGUGAGAGUGAGGUCGAGCGAGAGUGAGGCGAGUCCGACCGAGCCCAUGUAACCGACCGCACCGGCCUCGUCCUAGUCAGCGCACCGGGCACGCGCCGAUUCGGCCAGCGUGUCACCUGACAUGUGGGCCCGACCUGUCGGAUACGCGGUCAAUACUCACUUAUACGGCUGUCAGUCCAUUAUGCAUCACUUAGGCCCUGAGUUGGUACUGAACUGCGACAUGCACGAGUAGUGGUACUGAUUCGUGAGUCGGUGAGCAAGUGUGGUACCAACGUGCAAUUAACUCUCUGGUGCAUGAUGGACCCAUCGACCCGCUGGCUUAGCAAACGAUAGGGUUAAAUCACAUGCACGAUCACAUACAUGCACAUGCAUGGCCCCAUACCCGCGGCGAUACCGGUCAAAUAUUACUCAGCCAGCGCAUGGCCUCAUGGAAAGCAUGCGCAAAUCAGUCGAUCAACCGUUGGCUCCGUAUCGCAUGGGCGGUAGGCCAGGCAGCAGGUAGACAGCUUCGUAGGGUGGCGCGCGCGUCGCGUUUGCCAUCCUCUUCGUCCGCCCGGCAGGACAACUUUGUAGGGUUUUCACCAUUGGGAAGAAGACAAGGUAAGGGUCGGUGCAUGCAAAAAACGGCGCUGAUUUCAUCAUUGGUUCGGCUUGGGUCCGCCGGCGCUGAUUUCGGCCGAAGCCGGUAAAAAACAGACUCCUGAGAACGCGACUGAGUCAUUUUUUCAGCGUCGAUGCGAACAAAUCAUCUGGAAGGCCGUGUUAGGGGCGCCGCUGGAGAUGCUCUUACUAUAUCCGCAGCAUGCUGGUCAAUGAGCAUACUUCGCCUUCCCUGCCAAUUAAAGGCACCUGCCACCUGCCGCCAUCACCAUGCUUGCGCCCCGAAUAAUUUGGAAUGAAAGAUACACUAGAAUUUUCCACCAUAGAUCGACGAUGCCACCCAUCAUGUAGCUGAAUUAAAGAACAUAUUUGCUAAUUAUCAGGUGUUUGAUAAUUCAUGUAGCGGAGUGAAAUGAUGGAUUUGCUAAUUCUCAAGUGUUUGAUAAUUAGUUAAAUCUCAAUUAGCAACAACAAUCAUCAAUCUAACAUUGAGAUCCAUACGAGACUUCAUAUAUUUUUGAAUUAUGAGAACAAACACCAUAACUUCUGGCACUAGGUACACAAAAAUUCUACACCACAUUAAACUUAUUUUUUCAACAAUUUUGUGACGUCGACUGACUUGAUUGGGACAACCCCCAACAUAUCAAUCUAUUUUGUUGGCGUGGUAAAGUGGUCUUAAGUAGAAGGUAACUACGUAUCGUGCUUGGACAAGUUCAUGUCUUACAAGUAAUUGAUCCAGUGAUAUGGGCUACAUCACUCCAGUAAAAGAAGAUGUGGAUCGCGAUGCACACAAUGAUCAGUUCGAACCCGCCGGUACCCGAAGGAGCGGCAAGGCCUUGGCAUUGAUUCCCGCGGGUACCGAGGCAAUGAGGACGACGAUGCGGCCGUCUCGCUGACUCGGUGGGCAGUCGUCCUUCUCUCGCCGCCGUAGCAGUUCCUGGAUGCCGCGGCGAAUGAAGCCGUGGUCGUCCUCGUCGUCAGGCUCCGGCUCGCCGGCCCUCCGCCUCGCCAAGCCCAAUCCGGAGGCGACACCGCUCGGGCGUCGCGCUCGCUGCGGUGCCCUCAUCAUCAACGAGCCCUCACCACCUGCGGCGGCACCGUCGAGGCGCUCCCUGCGGCUCGUUCGGCCGAAGCCCGAGCCGGGCUUGCUCCCCAUGAAGCCGGAGCACGCCGACAUGGUGGCCCCGUACAACAAGUCCGCCCUCAAAUGGGUGAAGGAGGACUACGUCCGCGAGCAGGUGCGCCGUCAGCGACGGGCGUACCUGGAGACCCAGGCCCGUAGCCGCGUUGAGGAGGGCGGUAUUAUCGUCAUCGACAGUGACGACGAGGGCGAGGCCGGGCCGUCAAGCGCCCCACCACAUGUCGGUGACCCCGGCCAGGGCUGCAGCAGGGACGCCGCAGGCGAGGCGCGCGACGAUGACGACGGUGACUACACCCGCUUCUACAAGCUUCUCGGCAUGUAGACGACGGCGACAACGACGGUGGCGACGGCGAUGGCGGCGGCUAGGCUAUGUAGUUUGUUUUUAAGUUAGGCGUAGUUCCUGCAUGUUUUUACUUUUUGUACAAAUUUCCACGAAGUAUGGCCGAGUUCCUUAAAAAUCGCCGAGUUUGCAAAAAAAUGAAACGAAUUUCGCCGAACCCGCGGCGACCCUGGGCCUACGACUGGGAGCGAACCGAACCCCAGGGGCCAAUCUAGCGCCGGUUCGCCCCCAGGCUGCUCUUUUUCGACGUCCUGAAGGCCGAACGGCUGGAGAUGCUCUAACAAUGAAAGUAUGGUCUCGUCUUCGCAAAUUCAACGGGAGUCCACUUGAUUGGGGCUGAAUGUGAUUCUUUGGGAGUUAUCAUGUUUUGCACUGGGAAUUCACAAUGACGAUAUGCAGCGGAGGCCAUCUUUUGUGGAGUGUGCCGACAUGGCAACAAUGAUCGCGAAGGUUAAGUUCUUGCACUAUCUUGUCAUCGUGAAGCUAAGUCACUCAUGAGCUAGCUAGUAUUUUCUUUUCAAAAUAAGAAUUCUUGUAACUGGGUGAAUGAACCUCCCGAUUACCUAGUUGAUAAGAUCAUGAACAAUGUGAUUGUGGUUUAAAUUAAUAAUGAUGAUUGGUGAUGGAGGCAUCGCUGUUGAUCUAUGGUGGAAGAUUCCAGCGUAUCUUUCAUUCGAAAUCAUUUGGACGCAAGCAUGGUGAUGGAGGCAGGGACAUCAAAUGGGUAGUAAGGGCGAAGUAUAUGGCCGCCGACCAGCAUGCUGCGGUUAUAGUAACAGGGGUAGUAAGGGCAAUGUGGGAAGGUCUUCCCACAUUGGCGGCUAACGAGACAUAUAAAACCAGCUAUGCUACCCGCAUCGCCAGCGGCAUCGCCCUCUCAAAGUCAUCCAGCCCGCACGAUGUGCACUGCUGUCCAUUAAAACUGUACCUUCUAUCUCCCUGGUGAAAAUCUGGUCGUUCGUUUUUCUGUACACUGUCUGCUCGUGCUAGAGCGGUUGACUACUGGGCCAGCCUUGCGCGUGGGUCCAUCUCGCAGUGGCACCGUGUAUGCCUGUCUGCGUCCGGGUGAAAAGAAACAGCGGUGCUCGUGGUCUGCCAGGGCAUCCAUCGUGGCUUGUGGUAGACGUGUGGUGGGUCACACGCACGAUCGAAGCAGUAAAAAAACUAGCUAUACCAAUCCCCUUCCGUCCUCGAGCCCCGCACAUCUCCACCUCCUCCUCGUCAUCUCGAUCUCCAGCGCGUGGUCACCGCCGCCGCUCCUGCCUCAUCUCCGCUUCCCGAUUCAGACACCCAGCCCUCCAUGCCGGCGCAGGAUGAUAGAGAAGGAGAGGGUGACCUUGAUGGCCAGACAAGGGAGGACAAGGGUUGGUGGGAUGGGAUGGAUCUGUUCGGGAAGGUGAGAGGACAGAGACAAAGGGGGAGCAUGAGGUGCUCAACGUGGAGCAGCAGAGGACGCCGUGGAGGCGCUGUGGUGUGGCGUACGACGUCAAGGGGGAGGUGUGCAGGGGAGUUCCGCGGCGGCGGCACCAUGGAUACGGCGUCAAGGGAGAGGUGUGCAGGGGGGGUUCCGCGGCGGCGCCGCCAUGAAUCCACAUCCUGGUCGUGACCUUUGCGCCCCACGCAUGCUGGCCGGCCCACAUCGCCCCUGGAUGGCAUGGAGGACGUCCAUGACACCGCCGACGUGCCGCUCUUGGAUGCCGAGGCGCUGCCCCAAAGACAUCGACGCCGCCGCCGAGGCGCUGCCCAGGGCCGGCCAUGAAGCCGCUGAUGUGUGAGCCAAUACAAGUUAGGGACGACCUCGUCACCCUUCAGGUGAGUUUGGCCCCCUUUCCUUCAAUCUGUUUGAAACUGCUGUGUGCUUGGGUGCUGUUCCUAGGACAUUGACAUGUUUUGGACCUUUGAUGAUAGUUGUUGGUGUAGAUUUUGGCUAUUUAUAGUGCCUCUGCCGUGGCUACGUCUGUGUGUAGUUUUAAAAUGGACCGCUGCAUGUGUUGUUAGUUUGCUCUGUUAUGCAUUUCCGGUAAUUCCAUCCAUACACUAAUCAUUCUGAAGUUUCAAACGUUUUGCACAAAACAGAAGACUGCGAGUUCGAGUGCCCAAUGGACACGGAAUGAACACAGCCUUACAUACCAUCUCGCUGGAGUUUUGGAAACCAAAUGCUCCAGAUAAAGGAACAUAAAAAAUAUAGCAAGCAUAAAAAUGAUCUGACCUGUUAAACAUUUGAUGCUAUGUCCACUGUCCAUGGAUCAGAGAGCACACAAAUAAGUUUACAAAAUUUGGUUGCUCAUUACUUAUGAAGACAAUGGUGUUUAUCUUCCAUUUCUCUGUAUUCAUUCCUUGCUACAAAGUCAACCCUAUCUCCCUGCACCCUCCAAAUCUUCUGCUUCAGGGAUGCCAUCUCUAUAGGUAUAAAUUUUCUUUGCUUCUAUAUAUGUGUGCAUGCAGCUGGUUUACAUGUAUUAUCUUAUGAGCUGGACGUCCUUCCAUUCGCUGAUUGCAUGUCAGGUCACAGGAAUUAGGGGGCUUAGGAACUCACAUGAACGAGGUAUCAAACCCUCUCAAAGAUUCUCAUGUAUGCUAUUCAUUUCUGCAGUCUGUUAUUUUAUUUCUUUCAAUGCUUCUGCAACCAGGUGUAUCUAAAGCAUGAUUUUAGUACAAAAUUUUAUCGGUCGGAGAUUACUUCAAGCAUUUGUGGAAAUUAGAGUGUGGGGAUCUCAAAGAAUUUUUCGCAAGAAAAACCCAAUAUUGGCAUGGUCGAGAUACUAUAGACACUAGUAGAAAAGGGGCCAAUGGUCCAGGCCGGUCCAGCCCAUUAGUCCCGGUUCAAUCCAGAACCGGGACCAAUGGAGGCAUUGGACCCGGUCCGUGAGCCCCAGGGGCCGGCCGGGCCACGUGGGCCAUUGGUCCCGGUUCGUCUGGACCUAUUGGUCCCGGUUGGUGGGACGAACCGGAACCAAUGGCCCUCGCUCCUGGCCCACCACCAUUGGUCCCGGUUGGUGGCCUGAACCGGGACCAAAGGACGACCAUUAGUCCCGGUCCAUUCCACCAACCGGGACUACAGGGUUGGUCCUCGUUGCGGCCAAAGUUUAGUCCCACCUCGCUAACCGAAGGGGAAUCAGACCGGUUUAUAAGCCCCUCCCUCUGUGCCUUAUUGGGCUCCUCUGAAAAUGAAAAUAGAUGCCCUUAUAUAGGGAAUUUAGGCUAAAUUCAUACGAAUUUCUCUUAAAACUUGUUAUGAAUUUAAUUUGAAUUUCCUCUAUAAGCGCAACUAUGCUCAUUUCUUAGUAGCUUUUUAUAUAGUUUUUUUUUCUUUUCUGCUAUAUUUAUUUUUUUCUUUUUAUUUCNNNNNNNNNNUAUGCUCAUAUUUUAGUAAAGUUAAUCACAACUAUUUUUUCUUCUUUUUAUUUCUGAGUUGUAAUAAGUCAUUAAAAAUAAGCAUCUAUGCUCCUUUUUUAGUACAGUUAAUCACAACUAUUUUUUUGCUUCAAUUCAUUUCUGAGUAGUUUUCUAUAUAGUUUUUUUUUCUUUUCUGCUAUAUUAAUUUUUUUCUUUUUAUUUCUGAGUUGUAAUAAGUCAUUAAAAAUAAAAAAGAGGCGCAAUGCUUGUUAAUUUGCUUCAAGCCUUUCGGAAUAGUGCCAACUGCACUGCACAUAGCUCUGUGCAGUCUACCGUAUUCCUCAAGGCUUGAAGCUAACCAACGUGCAGGAGCAUUGAGCCUCUUCGUCAUCGUCUCUGCACUCAGGGCUUAUAAACAGCUGCGAGUGCCUCUCGCUUAGCGAGGUGGGACUAAAAAAACAGCUGCAGGAAGAAUCAAAAUAAAAUAAAUAAAAAAAUGCCACCUAAAGGGCUACCACAGCCUGAAUACGACUAGAAACCCAACAAUUGGCCAGGAUUCAGGCCCGCAAUAGGCCCAAUAGGCCCACAGACACAUAUAGUGCGUUUAGGCCCGUAAGCCUGCAUUUGAGAGGAGCUCGAGAGGGCAGCGGGACUGGGGCUUAUAAACCACUCUCGAGCUCCCUCAGCUAGCGAGGUGGGACUAAACUUUCGUGCCGCGACGUGGGCAGCACAUGGCCUUUAGUCCCGGUUGGUGGCACCAACCGGAACUAAAGGGGUGCAUUGGCACCGGUUCGUGGCACCAACUGGUACCAAUGCCCCCCCUUUGGUCCCGGUUGGUGGCACCAACCAGGACUAAAGGGGGGCAUUGGUCCCGGUUUGUUCCACGAACCGGGACCAAAGGCUUUGCUAUAUAUACAACACUUAGCGCGACUUCGAUCUCUCCUUCUCCACUCCCGUCGCCGCGUGUCUCCCUGCCGCCACCUCGCCGUAGCCGCCCCACCCCGACGCCGUCACCGCCACGCCCCGCCACGCCCCAACGCCGUCGCCGCCCUGCAUCGCCCCGCCCAGCCNNNNNNNNNNNNNNNNNNNNNNNNNNNNNNNNNNNNNNNNNNNNNNNNNNNNNNNNNNNNNNNNNNNNNNNNNNNNNNNNNNNNNNNNNNNNNNNNNNNNNNNNNNNNNNNNNNNNNNNNNNNNNNNNNNNNNNNNNNNNNNNNNNNNNNNNNNNNNNNNNNNNNNNNNNNNNNNNNNNNNNNNNNNNNNNNNNNNNNNNNNNNNNNNNNNNNNNNNNNNNNNNNNNNNNNNNNNNNNNNNNNNNNNNNNNNNNNNNNNNNNNNNNNNNNNNNNNNNNNNNNNNNNNNNNNNNNNNNNNNNNNNNNNNNNNNNNNNNNNNNNNNNNNNNNNNNNNNNNGAUUUUUUUGUUAGGUUAGGUGUGUAGAAAUUUAGAUAUGUAGUUCAUAGAUUUUUUUGUUAGAUUAGAUUUUUUUGUUAGAUUAGUUAGACUUUUUGUUAGAUUAAUUAGAUUUUUUUGUUAGGUUAGAUGUGUAGUAAUUUAGAUAUAUGUAGUUCAUAGAUUUUUUUGUUAGAUUAGAUUUUUUUUGUUAGAUAGAUGUG
rnacentral:lncRNA from 1 species